GAGUGGGGUGUGUUCCAUGAGAAUUGCGCUUGAUUGAAUCAGGUGGGGGUUGUUUGGCGCUACACCUUUAAAUCCAGCAAGCUGGCGUUUUUCUGAUUUUGUGCUGUCACAGACUGUUGCUUCCUUGGGCUCUUGGCUGAGUGUCCGAGUUGACGUGAGUUCAUGUUUAAAUGUAUUGUGAGAUCAAACCUCGUUGGCAUAUGUGAUUUUGAUUCAGACGAUUACAUUGUUUCAUAGCCUCAUCUGGUGUUUGUGCGAUUACCCAGUGCCGUGGGUGUUGCUAGUGUCCUGUCUUUGCGAGCCCUCAUCGGCUGCGAUUUGUGUUGGCGUGCUUCAACGAGGACUUCCGGGUUUAGAGUGAUAACUACAAGUUUGCCGAGUGCGUUUGUUGUGCUGAGAACUUUGGUUUGGGAAUGUUCAAGUAAAAACCAGACGGAGUAAAGUGACUGCUACAGUAUUAUAAAUAACCAAGCUUUUGGCUU